GAUGAAGAACGCAGCGAAAUGCGAUACUUGGUGUGAAUUGCAGAAUCCCGUGAACCAUCGAGUCUUUGAACGCAAGUUGCGCCCGAAGCCAUUAGGCCGAGGGCACGCCUGCCUGGGCGUCACACGUCGUUGCCCCCCCCAUCUACUCCUUCGGGAUUGCGGGGGGCGGAUGAUGGCCUCCCGUGCGCCUCGCCGCGCGGUUGGCAUAAAUGCCAAGUCCUCGGCGACGCACGUCACGACAAUCGGUGGUUGCGAAACCUCGGUUGCCCGUCGUGUGCGGUCGUCGCGCAUCGAGGGCUCGAAAAAAUUGCCGAGUUCCGGCUCGGCUUUCAACGCGACCCCAGGUCAGGCGGGGUUACCCGCUGAAUUUAAGCAUAUCAAUAAGCGGAGGA
rnacentral:misc_RNA from 1 species